rnacentral:lncRNA from 11 species
UAGCAGUUCGAAAACAUGCCAGUGUGAGUAGAUCAAUAGGUACUGCUCUGGUGGGAAGGUAACGGCGCUCCAUGCAGUCAUGCCCAUGGCCACAUGACCUCAAGAUGUCUAUGGACAACGCUGGCUCUUUGGCUUAGAAAUGGAGAUGAGCACCAACCCCCAGAGUCAUUCACGAUUGGACUUAAUGUCAGGGGAAACCUUUACCAUAAUAAUAAUAAUAAUAAUAAUAAUAAUAAUAAUAAUAAUACACAAUGCUGUUGUGUCAAUAAUAAUAAUGAUUAUAGUAAUAAUAAUAAUACUUUAUUUAUAUACCUUCCUAUCUCCUAGAAGGGACUCAGGGCGGUUUACAACAAAGAUACAGAUAUACAAUACAUAAUAUAAAAACACAUUAUUACACAAAAAUAAAAUAACAAUCAGUAAAAUCACAGCAGCUUCCAAUUGGGGUCAAUAAUGUUGUAGGUAACAGACCAUGAUCAGGAAAAGAUGAGACUGUACAGAAUAUUUCAUGCCAAGUUGGUGGAAUGGCCAGAAUGGAAUUAUAUGAUGGAGAUAUGUUUUGAGACUGGGAUUUGAAGCCAUGGGCUCAAACUGCAGGAAGGGAGAGGAGAUUCCGCCUGAACACGAGGAAGGACUUCCUGGCUGUGUGUGUGUGUGUGAGAGAGAGAGAGGUCUGUUCAGCAGUGGAACUCUCUGCCCCGGAGGCUCCUUCUUUGGAAGCUCUGAAGCAGGGUCUGGAUGGCCAUCUGUCGGGGGGCUUAGAGUGCAACCUUUCUGUUUCUGGGCAGAAUGGGUUGGACUAGAGGCCCUGCCAGGUCUAGGAUUCCGUGAUGGAGAGCCCCCUCCUCCCCAGUGGCAUUCCAUCACUCAACAGGUGCCGCGUGCUUCCCCCCUUUCUAGUGUUUUUACUGGGGGGGGGGGGGGUCCGCCAGCUGGCCUCCCCCUUCCCCACUCAUCCAUUGAGCCAGGCCGUUCCUCCUCGAAACCUGAUCCCACCCCCAGAAGGACUGGGAUGCCAGAGCUGCUCCAGGGGCUAUUUUGGUCCUGGCCACCAAUGUGGGGAGGGGGAGGGUGGGGUCUCCUUUUGUCUGUCCAUCCAGCCACUGGCUCCUCGACUCCCCUCCCGCCUGCCUGUGCCUCUCUCUGCUCUUCCUUCCCGCAGGUGCCCGUACCUGGGGAAGGUGAAGCAGGAGCCUGGAGGGAGCCCCCUGGUGGCGGCAGCAGUGCCAGCAGCGCCCAGCAGGCCUCGGUCCACUUUGUCCCUGCUCAGAGCGAGAACAAGCCGACCAAGCCGGGGACCAUCCAGCCCAUCUCCCGCCUGCGACCGGGGCCCGGCCUGUCCCCCGGGGCCGAUGGACGGGAGGGCGGCCCCAACCCCUUCCAGCCGCCGGAGGGGCCCCGCUCCAGCGCCCAGAGCUCCCCUCGGUCGCCACGACCCCCACCUUCGCCGGAUGAAGCCACACCGGUCAGUGCCAAGCAGGUCUACAAGGGCCUUUGCGGCCGUCCCUGUCCCUCACUUGUUCCUGGAGACGGAGGACGCAUCGGGCCAGAAGGGAACAGAGAAGGCCCAGCUUGCCCCCUGUGAGGCACCGUCUCCGGGGGGUCUCCACAGCCCCGAGCAGCGUUCCUUCCGCGAGAGGCAGAAGUACUUUGAGGUGGAGCUGAAGCAGCCCCCGCCGGCCGAGAAGCCCCCCAAGAGGGUCUCCCUGGUCGGGGAGGACGACCUGAAGAAGAUGAAGGAGGAGGAAGGCAAGUGGAGCCUGGGUGAACAACGCGGUCGGGCCCCAGGCGGCCACUUUGGGGGAGGGGGUGCAGAAUGAUCCUUGACCCCCCCCCCCCAUUGUGUCUCCAGGGAAGGGGAGCUCAGGGGGCCCAAGGGAGGGGGGUUUCAAGCCUGUCUUUCUAAAAUGGUCCCAUGGAGAUCUAGGAAGGAAGAUUGGCAUCCAGUUUAUGUGUGUGAGAACUGAGUGUCAUGAAUACCGUAGAGUCUCACUUAUCCAACAUAAACGGGCCAGCAGAACGUUGGAUAAGUGAAUAUGUUGGAUAAUAAGGAGGGAUUAAGGAAAAGCCUAUUAAACAUCAAAUUAGGUUAUGAUUUUACAAAUUAAGCACUAAAACAUCAUGUUAGACAACACAUUCGACAGAAAAAGUAGUUCAUACGCAGUAUUGCUAUGUAGUAAAUACUGUAUUUACGAAAUUAGGACCAAAAUAUCACGAUGUUUCGAAAACAUUGACUAUAAAAAUGCCUUGGAUAAUCUAGAACGUUGGAUAAAUGAGACUCUACUGUACUUCUUAAACAGAGGUUCUUUUAUUGCAAUUUCAGUGUGAGAGGGUCUAUCAGGACUUUUACAGAAAGAACAUUUAGACAUACAGACAUACAGAUUCUAUGUAACUACAUUGGAUUCAUCAACAACCUAUUGUUACAUUGGCUAACAAACAAACAAACAGAGGGGAAUGAAAUUUUCACUCAGCAUUCACAUUAUCCAUGCAAACAUUCACCUUCAUG